GCUAACGCUGGCGGCAUGCUUCCACAGUGCCUAGUUGAACGGGUUUAAGUUCCUCUAGACUUAAAACAAGUAGCGGACGGGUGAGUAACGCGUAAGAACCUACCUUUAGGUAAGGAAUAACUAUUGGAAACGAUAGAUAAUACCUUAUAAGCUUAUAGUAAAAGAUAAAAUCGCCUAAGGAUGGGCUUGCGUCUGAUUAGCUUGUUGGUGAUUUAAAAGAUUCACCAAGGCAACGAUCAGUAGUUGGUCUAAGAGGAUGAUCAACCACACUGGGACUGAGACACGGCCCAGACCUCUACGGAGGGCAGCAGUGAGGAAUUUUCCGCAAUGGGCGAAAGCCUGACGGAGCAAUGCCGCGUGGAGGAUGACAGCUUGUGAGUCGUAAACUCCUUUUCUUAGUGAAGAAAUAAGACGGUAUCUAAGGAAUAAGCAUCGGCUACACUCCGUGCCAGCAGCCGCGGUAAUACGGAGGAUGCAAGCGUUAUUCGGAAUUAUUGGGCGUAAAGCGUCUGUAGGUGGUUAUAUAAGUC
rnacentral:rRNA from 1 species